AUUAUUUCCGUGUAAAGUUUUUGCGUUUUUUUUUAAAAAAGACAUUUUUUAUUCGUUCACUGGCCUUGAAAUGCUCAAAAAUCAUCCAUCCGAUUUGAUUUGUUCUUUUUUUUGAAGCUUGUUUUAUUUCGUUUUUGUUUCUGGAAAGGUUGUACCCCUGCAACAGAUAAGGAAACGUAGUAGCUGUCAUCAUUAAAUAGAAAUCAUUGUGCUGAUUAAAAUUGACAUGAUCCACCAUCAAACAGCUGCUGUUAUAUCAACCAUGUGCGAAAAGCGUAUGAUGAUGAUGGCCACCAGUUGAUAUUCUCAAUAAUUGUAAGCCUCUUUUCAAUAUACGAUGAUGUUGAAUUGGACUAUCCGGGGGAUUAUAGUAUGAAAAAUUAUAUUAUUUUAUUAAAUCUAAAUUGAAUCUAAAAAACACAAAAAAAAAUUGAUUGAUCGACUAUUUUCAUUUUGAAUUUUUCGAAAUAAGUGCCGCCGUCUAUUGACAGAAAUUACAACCAAUUUUUGACAAUUCCAACAAAGAGUUGUCAUAAAAAAUAAUUAAAGCGAAUCUUUUGUCAUUCGUAUUUAAAAACAAUCUGAUAUAUCAAAUUAAUGAUGAUUUAAUGUAAAUCAAAGAAAACAAAAUCAAGUAGCAAUGGUUGAUGAAUUAUUAUUCUUAACAAAAUUAUUGAUGAGAAAAAAAGACAAACGAAAGGGUUAUAUUGGAUUUGAUGUUCAUCGAUGAUCAAAUAAUCAAAUAGUCCAUUAAAAAUCUCGUGCCAAACAACAGGCAGCAAAUAUCAGCACCAAUUGUA